ACUUUGUCUUACUCCUUUGUUUACAAAUCCCACAGCUUUCUAUCCUCUCCAGUCACUUUAUAUUGCUAGGCGAAAGACUUUCGUUUGAAAUGUCGACGUAUAAAUUCACAUUUACAACACUUCCGGUCAUGUGGCAAGCUUUAUCAUUAGUGGCAGUAAUGCUAAUGCUGAUAUAGAUACAGGGACGCCGGAACGAUAAUAAGGCAAAGGGGGGGCAGACACACUGGGAAUUUUUUGGGCGACCCCCCCCAACCCCCCGUCGCCAAAAAAGUUUCGGUCAAUGUAACAUUUUAGGGGUCAAAAUUUUUUUCCGGACAUACCAACAUUUUCCGUUAAGAUAAAAAUUUUUUUCUAAAUUCCAAAAAAUUUCUAAAAUUUUUAAUUAUUCUUGUUAAUUUUUAAUUUUUUUUGGUAAUUUUUGUUAAUUACCUGAAUCUCAUGAUUUUCCCAGAAAAAGCAUCACUGGAAAUGUGAUUUAUCACGUAGUAUUUUACAACUAAAAGGGCACUUCUGCCCCCCCCCUGCCCCCCUAGCAAAAGGCAAGGGGGAUAGCCGCCCCCUGCCCCCCAGUUCCGGCGUCCCUGUAUAGAUAUGACUUCUUCUUACUAAACCUUUGCGAUUGACUAUGUGUAUAAGUACAGGUAUAUACAGUCUACAAACAAACAGCUUGCAUGAUGAUAUAAGUUUCCAGUACGAAUGUAAAAAUUUCGCAUUUGCGGUUUCAGUCCCUGAGCUGAAAAAGUUGAAAAACAGCUGCUAUAAAUAUUGCUAAGGGGGAGUGUAAAAUCGACAAAGUCAAAGUAAAUUAUAAAUGAUACGGUAUACUGUAUAGGCUUAGUUUAUACUUUACACAGUAUACUGAUAUAUAGUCAUAUAUGUAGUCAUUGAACGCUGAUUGUACAUGUUUGACCAUUUUCCUCACGCUUGUGAAUAUAAACAACACUUCCUAGCUAAAUAAACAUUAUGUUUGCAUAAAUUCAUUUUAUCAUACAAGCUUUUUGUUGCGAAUAGGUGAUUCCAGCUGUAGACUAAAUUUUGAUCAAGGCAAGAAGAACGAAAUCCAACACUCAACACCACAGGCAAUACAGGCUGUACAGCUAGAAAGAGCGUCUUAGAAUGAGUAAAACUGCAAAGAUUGGUUGCUAAAUGUUGUAAAAUGAAGAAAAUAUAGCCUUGUGAAGUUAAUAUAGCCUUGUGAAGAAAAUAUAGCCUUCUGUAUUUAUAAUACGCGCGGUAAAAAUAACCACUUUCGGCUCAAAAAUGGUUAUUUCCUCCGUGAAAUAAAAUGUUGAUUAGUUCCGAUUUAUUCGUAAACUUUGAGAAUUUUUCUUGAUAAACUUCGAUGAACUUCAAAACAUACAGAUUACAAAAGAGAGCACCAGGGGCGGCGGAACCGGGCGGGCUAGGGGGGCUAACCCCCCCAGAAGUAAAAGUGGGGGGGGGGCUUAGCCCCCCCAGAAAAUUUAGUUUUUUCUGGAAAAAUUUUGAUAAUUAAAGAAAAAUUUAGGUUAUUUUUAAUUUUGAAAAUUUAGGUAUAAGGGGAAAAAUUUGCAAUAUUUUGUUUAAAAAUAGUGUAUUUCCGGAAAAAAUUUUUGUUAUAUGUCCGGAAAAAUUUUUUUCAUCCCUUUUCUUGUAUGUGUGGUCACGGAAAAAAUUUUUUUAGCCCCCCCAGAAUGAAAUCUGUUCCGCCGCCGCUGGAGACCACAUUGUUCACAAUUACUACGUCAUGCAUAAUAAUUACUACGUCAUGCAUAAUUAUGAUACGUUAUCGCGAUAAUGUCAAUUAUUUUCUACACUCCGCGCGUAAUGCAAAUAUAUACAAAAUUUGCGAAUUUCACAGGGCUAUAUUUUCCUCAUUUUACAACAAUUCGCAACCAAACUUUAGCAAUUUUACUCAUUUUAAGAUGCUCUUUCCAGCUAUGGUAAUGGAUUUCGUUCUUGUUGUCUGCAUCAAAAUUUCGUCUAUAGCUGGAAUCAUACAUUAGCUAGCAGACCCUAGCAGAUACCAUUUCCUGCCGACAACCUUCCCAGGCCCUGGGAACGAGGUUGAGGCAUGUCGACAGUUAAUUCGAUUCAAAGAGUUGAAUUAGUUUAGGGGCGACACUUCCUUGACAGAAG